GUGCUUGCUUCGGCAGCACAUAAACUAAAAUUGGAACGAUACAGAGAAGAUUAGUAUGGCUCCUGCGCAAGGAUGACACGCAAAUUUGUGAAGCGUUCCAUAUUUUU
rnacentral:snRNA from 1 species